GCCACCGCUUAAUAUUGGGGUUUCUUCUUUCUCUGCUUUUUUCAGAUUUCUUUGUAUCUUAAAGUGAUUAAUCUGCUCUGCUCUCCCAUGUGUACAUCCACUUUGUUUCCACAGCUGAGUUGAAGAAAUACCAGUCAUAAUCAAACAACUGUUGCCAAGGGGAUCCUGACCUGAUAGCUGAACAUUAAUUAGAAUUUCGCAACUAUGGAAGAUGAGCCAAUACUUGUGAGUGAUGUGAAAGGAACUAAGAAACAAAAAGGGGAACAAAGUACUUUAUCAAAGCCACACUCAAGUUACAUUUUCAGGCAGAAGCUAAAGCCCAAAGAGUUUCAACGCAUCUUGUGAUAACUUAUGAAGGAGUAAAGAUCAGCUUACUGUCUCGGCCGCAAGGAAAAAACAUUUUGCUUCCUAAGAACACGAAAACUAUUAAGGACCUAAUAUAACUGGUAGAAUUGCAGCACAAGAAGAA